rnacentral:rRNA from 1 species
AGAGCGAACGCUGGCGGCAGGCUUAACACAUGCAAGUCGAGCGGGCGUAGCAAUACGUCAGCGGCAGACGGGUGAGUAACGCGUGGGAACAUACCUUUUGGUUCGGAACAACCCAGGGAAACUUGGGCUAAAUACCGGAUAAGCCCUUACGGGGAAAGAUUUAUCGCCGAAAGAUUGGCCCGCGUCUGAUUAGCUAGUUGGUGAGGUAACGGCUCACCAAGGCGACGAUCAGUAGCUGGUCUGAGAGGAUGAUCAGCCACAUUGGGACUGAGACACGGCCCAAACUCCUACGGGAGGCAGCAGUGGGGAAUAUUGGACAAUGGGCGCAAGCCUGAUCCAGCCAUGCCGCGUGAGUGAUGAAGGCCCUAGGGUUGUAAAGCUCUUUUGUGCGGGAAGAUAAUGACGGUACCGCAAGAAUAACGCCCGGCUAACUUCGCGCCAGCAGCCGC